UAUCGGUUCUGACUUGGUAAUGACUGGAUCUGUUCUACUUGUGUGUGGAAAUGAUGUGAGAGUCAAAUGGGUUUUGGAUAUCUUGGAUUAGAUGUUCUGCAUUACAGGUUUCGAGGAUGGACUCUGGCUGGUCAAGGUCAGAGGAGAAGCCAUGUAGGGGGGCAUCUAAACUGGCUCACUGGGAAGUUGCAGAUGCUGCUAACAGUACUUGGUUGGUGUCAUAGAACUAGAUUCAGAAAAGGUCCAGCUGCUAUGUGAUGCACCUAAUGAAGAAGUAGAUGAGAAAAAUAAAGAUCAAAUUGCAAACUUCCUCUGUCCAGGUAACUAUGUUGUUUCUGGAGGUGUGAAAGCAGUGGAAGGUAAGGCAAAGUCAUUUAAGGCUCGAAUGAUGGUUAAUUACUCUUAGAUUAUUAAUUACCAUUUUUCCAUAAUUUGAUAAAAGCUUCAUGCAUUAUGCUUUACCAUAUUUUUGCAUACUUAGCUUGUAUUUCUCUUAAAAGACUAAUGU